GGUCUAGUGGUGUAAUGGUUAUCACGUCUCGCUCACAUUUGCCGAGGAGGCUCGGAGUUCGAUCCUCCGCUGGAUCA
rnacentral:tRNA from 1 species